ensembl:rRNA 5S_rRNA 5S ribosomal RNA
GAUUAUAGGUUAUUUAAAAUUUAUCCUUUUUAUCUCGUCUGCUCUCAGAAGCUAAUCAGGGUCAGGCCUGGUUAGUACUUGGAUGGGAGAUCACCUAGGAAGACCAGGUGCUGUAAGCA